CUGAAAAACAAAAGACAAAACAGAUGAAAACCGAUAAAUCCGUACUACUAGAGCUUGGCAAUGCGGCGGCCGGCGGGGCGGCGGCUCGGUAAAUCCGUGCUGCGGAGCGGGGUGCCCGGUGGCUAGGUAUGUACUCAGGGGCACGCUCCGUCGCCUUGCUCUGGCUCCGCAGUUCCCCGCGAGGGAGAGGGCGAGGCAACGGCCCGGAACCCCGGAAUCGUGGAGCUCGCAACGCGCGCCGCCGGGCAGAUGCCGUCGGGAGGACAGCAGUCCGGUGACGCGCUGUGCGGAGGUUCAGGUUCAGGCAUGGAUUGGACAAAAGCAAAUUCCUGGUCUGGUACUGGUACCCCUUUCCCGCGAGAUAGUGAAGCUAUCAGGUAAUUUGAACGCAGUUUGCCCCAGCUGCACCUCCUUGCUGCCAAGUGAUUGAGAAAGGUGUGCAGCAAUGGCAUGCCCAGCUCGUGCUCGAGCGUGCUGAGCACGGAGCGACUUACAGAUCAUCGCAGGUGCAGCUGCCGUCAGAGUCAGAGGCCAUGGCGGGGCCUUGGAGUACUGCCCUGACUCCCGACUUGUUCACUGCUGCAUCUUUCAGGGCGGGCUCAGGCAGACCGGGUAACGUGUGAAGACUUGUAGUAGCCGGAUAACUGGCUGUAAAUUGUGAUAGGUUAGUUAAUUGCCAGUUAGCUGAAUAGUCUGUCUGAAGAAUUUGUAUUUACUUGGGGGGGUGAUAGUUCAGACGUCCGAAUUUUCAGAUGGUGUCGUUUUGACGCUCUUCAUGGGAAGAUCGAUGUCUUGUGAUUCAGUUCCAAGGUAGAGGAAACAACAAGUCGCUGGCACUCUGCAACCUUGUGCAUACGGCCUGCCUGGUAUCGUAUUGUUGGCUUCACAAAUCUGUCUGAUAAGUUAUUGGGCUGUACAA